UCACCCCAGGUUGUUGCAUUUCUGUAGCCGCGACUGCACGGAUACCAAAAGCUGUGCACCAAAUCGCAUUCGAGGAGCCAGCAAAUGUUGUAGUUCGAUCUCAAAAGUUUGGAAUGAGACAGAAAGAUUAAGCUCGGGAGGGAGAGAGGGAGAGAGAAAGAAAAGGCAGCAAGAAAAGUGAGGGACUUUUAGGGGCAGCUGUGUUUUAUUAACCCAGUCAUAAUGCCCCUAAAAAUCCUUAUUGCUCUUGCAAUGGUCAACAAAUCUCCUUUUGCAACAUGUAGAGGAUGUCUGAGCAGCGCACAGGGAUUCACAUGAUCAAUCCGUCGCAGUGCAGGGCCAAGGCACAGUUCAGCGUAUAUGAGUAGGUCACAGAGGUUACGCAGAGAGAUUUUAACCUCUGUUAAACCAACCGUAGAAGGCACAGUGCUUAUUGAAUUGCAGAGCACAUGAAAGGAAGGAUACAGUCUCGGGGGGGGGGAGCUGCUGAAAUCGAAUUGAAACCUUUGUCAAAAGUUUCUCAACACGUUUGCAGUUGCAGAUAAGUUGGAAGUGUUAACAACUCUAUCUGGGAGCUGCAGAGGCAGAAUGAAAAGCAUCUCUUUACCAACAAUACGAGUGGUUUUCUGUGGCAGACUUGAAUGAUGUUGUCCUUAUAUUUCUGCUUAAGUCUUUAUAGUUUAAUAUGCAGACGGGGAAGUCUACGCUCUGUGUCCUUCGGUGUUUUGACAUUGCGUUGGAGUAUCAGGGGACAGACUGAAAGACAGGCAGGUAGACUGACAAAUAACACGAGCUGGCAAGCAGUGAAGCCAGCCCAAAACAAUUCAGAGCAUGAAGAUAAUACAGUACAGGCAGGUAAGAAAUACAGGCAGACAGAUGGGAGCAUAAAGACAGGUAAACAAUGAAACAUCUUGACAAGACAGCAGAUAUGCAGAGAGACGUAGAAAAUGGCAACCAGGCAAGAAGUCAUGCAGCGAUACAGGCAAACAGCACACAUUGAAAGACAGAAAUGGAGGCAAGCAGGCCGUGGAGGACUGGGAUCCAGGCCUGGGUGUGGUGUGGUGGGCUGUCAUGGCUCGAGAGCGGGGUGGUGUGGAGCUCUCGAUGUUGGUGAAUGAGUCAUCGGAGGGAGGCUAUUCUGUUGAGUUUCCCUGUGGGACGGCCGCCGCUGAAGGAAGGAAGAAUCCUCUUCACGUCGAGGGAGAGAGAGAGAGAGAGAGAGAGAGAGACAGACAAGGGGAGAGGGAAAGUGUGGACGAUGACUCAGGGCCACGAACCACAUGGUGAUGGAGAGGGGAGGGAGGAAUUACUCAUCAGAGCAUGUGGAAUCUCAUACGGCUAUCACAGGACUGACAGUGUGCUUCCCUCAUGGCUGCUGCUCAGCCGCCAUCAGCCCCCGUGGCACCAAGCUGAACACCAGUCAGCUCCGCUUGUUUACCGAGAACAGAGCAUAGGUGGGGGACCGGGGUGAGCCGGGGGUCAGACUUACGAGGGCUUUGCUAAACUCUUUCAUCAAAGCCAGGUUUCCUCCCGUUUGGGUAACUCGGGGUGCCGUGAAGUACAAAUGAUGAUAAAUUCAUACUUUACCAAAGCUGAACCCACUCCAGUUGUGUUGAGUCACCCAAAUUUUCCCCAAAUGUCUGUGCUGCGUUUGUGUGUCUGACGGAUGUAUGUUGGAAAUAGUGCAUCAUUAUCUGACGAAGCCAUUUGAAUUUCAACUGUGGCUAUAAUGAGCCUCCUGAUAAGCAGGGUUUAUACUCUAACUGCCGCUCUUUCUGUAGGAGAAUACGUCCCACACGGAGCUUGCAUUUGACUUGACAAGGUAGAGCAGCUACAGUAGUUUCCUGAAAACACCUGAGUGUGGGAGGCCAGACUGGCUCAGGCCCUGGUUUACAUCAAGAAUGAUAAGUAUUACUGAGGGUAAACACUGAGGCGUUUUGAAACAGGACUUUUACCUCAGAUGCUGUCUACUUUACAGCAAGUUGGUGCAGGCCUUUUUGCUCCUGCUCCAAAUUAGGCAAUACUGUCAAAAUAUUUAAUUAAAGGAACUUCUCAAAAAGGAGAAGAACUGAAAAUGGCUUUAUGAAUAUGUAUCUGCAGUGCACAGCGAACAGAGGGUGACAUUUUAAGUCCAGUCGCCUCUUUUCUUCUUUGUGGCUCGCCUUACAAAGCGGCUCUUUCACGGCUGUGUAAAUCCAUCUUUACAGUGAUAAAUGUGAAACUACAGUGAGCCUGCGCAUGACAAAGUUGUACUGAGUGAUGACAAGACAUAGAAUUAAUGUAGGUGAAAGGGCUGUUGGCAUGACAUGCACCAUGGCUUGUCUUUAUGUGUGCUUGAGAUUUAGCAGAUUCGGAGUCUGCAGAAGUCUUUGGAUACGAGCGGUGGUGAAUUAACAGAUGAUGGAGGGGGAAGGAGUCAGCAGAAAGUAAGUGUGACUGAGAAUAAAUGCACCCACAUCUAUUUUAUGUGUGACUUCCACACCUGUCACACCCAAAUGUUUGGUGUGCAAUAACUUCUAGCUAUUAAUAUUGACAUAUGCAGCCAAAAAGGUGAUGAGUUUACCACAGUGGCAUGAUUCAACAGGUGAAAUAGGCACGCCCAUAACACUAGCUGACGCACCUCCGCUUAGCAGCAGCGGCACAGACCUAGAUCUUUCUCCAACAGAGGCUGCCAUUAGGGCGUGGGCUGACAGCACUCCAGCACCAGUACAACCACUCAGAUCCAGAGCAAGCACUGCAAACAAAAAUGAGAGGGCAAGAAAAAGUGGAGCAGACCUUCCCUGAGUCGAUCCCUCCGGCACCAAUCUUUAAAAAUGAGAAUGAAACCUCCUGACCAGUUUUUUAGGCCGAGCAGUCUAAUCACAUCUGUUAUGCUGCUUUCUCAAUGAAGACCUCAAUUGAUUUGCCCGUAAAAUGUCAGAAAAUAGUGAAAAAAGGACAUUAAAAUUUCACAUGGCCCAAUGCUUCUCUAAAUGUCUUCUUGUGUUUGGAGCAGCUGCUCUUUUAUGUACAGUCACUAAUCAGUUUAACAGACUUAUCAGUGUGGUUCUACACUAUUUAAAAGAGAUUGUAACACAGAAACAGGUUUUUUUAUGUAGAAAUUAGUUAGUUACUGAUGAUUUACACUCACAAUCUGAUGGAUGUAACUGACAAAGCUUGCAAAUAGAUAGAGGAGCAAAAGGUGGAAUACAAAUUUACAUAUCUGACUGGAUGCUGUUUUAAAAAAUAGGUGGAUAGAGGGAAGAUUUUAAAUUGCAUUUUAAAAAAAAAUCUAAAAUUACACGUUGUGCCACUAACUUAAGAAGAAAUGACAAGUGACUUAAGCUAGAUUUACUUAAUCGGAUAUAUUCUUAAUUGUAUGAACACCACUAACUCUGACACACACGUAUCUUUGCAUGAUUGGAUACAGAAAUAAUAACAAAAUAUUACUACAGAGAAUAACAAAAGUAACAUUUAACACACAGAGAAACAUGUUUUACUGGUUAUGCAGAUGAUAUCUUGCAACAAAUUUACACAUUAUCACCAUCCCCAAGACAUUAAUGAAGUGUAAAUGGUGGAAGUAAAUCACGAGUUGGAACUCAGGGAGGACUUCACACACAAACGUACUAAUGGAUUUAUGAAUAGACGGUGUGACUCAGUCCCAACUCUUUUGAAAACGAUUUGAUGAGAGCGAUCCACUUAUGAAUUCCAGCAUCAAUAAAUAAACUCUUAAAGAAACUAAUUCCAGUUGCCCAUUUUUGAAAAGAUCUGGAAACAGCAUGCUGCAGCAAUAAGCAAAUAAAAGAAGGCUGUGCUGCACACUGCAGGCAGAUCAGGCUGUAGGUGGACUGAAAGGUCAAAAUAAACACUACACAUGACUCCCCGGCUUCAGCUAUAGAAGGAGGAGGAGGAGGCCUGUCGCACACACACAAUGAAAUCUUUAGACACACACACACACAUAUAUAUGCCUCUCAACCUAUUAUUUACACGGUUUGCUUUUCUAUAGUAUGUCUAUAGUGCUUGCAGGUAUUCAGCACCCGGUUGCUUUUUGUUCAAUGGGCAGCAGAGCCUCAUUUUCCACUGUUUGCCUUUGUGAUUAUGUUUGAAUAUACAUAAGCAGAGUGCCGUUGCACACAGUGUUGAUGUUUGUAUUGUGAGAAACUAUUGCUAUAGUGUGAGGAAUGCAGCCAGCCCUCAUAGCUGAAAUGUGCUCCACUGCCUGAGCCGAGCUCAAGUGCAGCCUAAAUAUUUUGAGAAGUCAUUCCUCCUAUCCUGUCCUCACUUGGUCUCACCCAACACCAACGGGGGCACCUCGGGUUCCAGUUGUUUUCUAGUUGUUUGGGGUCAACGAUGCAUGUUGGCAGACCUCAUUGGCACUUUCUCUUUGCAUUGCAAAAUCUGUUGGGAGGCUGAACUCGGCUCAGCAUUUGUGCGCCCCAGUGUUGAGUAACAAUGAGCUCCGCAGGGCGAUUGGCAGAUGUCUGUUUGGUGCUGCAGAUACAGUCAUGCCAUUCUGUGGAGUCAGCAAGUGUGUGUGUGUUCAUGUGUAGAAGGGGUGAGGAAAAGCAGGUUUGCUUUGGCAGAAUGACCCAUUUGCCAAAGAAGUGGUUCCACAGCCAAAACUCGCCAAACACACCCGCGGCGCUGAGUGUUUUAUCAGUCCAACCUCUUCAGUAGUCAAAAUGGAAAGGUGGUAGUUUUACUCCCCGCGCUAACCUCUUCACAGCUUUUUUGUGAGCUGAGAGGGCUAAUGGUGAGCUGCAGCAGGCCUUUUUCAGUCGGCUAAAAUAAAAGCAACAGUGGAGGUAAGCUGCUGUUUCCUCAAACUCCUCUGUAGCAUUUGUUAGCAAGAGAAUAUUGCAAACAUUUUCAGCUAAUCAGAGGCAUGACUGAGCCUUAUGGUUGCUCGGAUCUUUUCUUCUACUUGCUGUGGCUCACUUGAGGUCCCAUUGUCUGACUUGAGCCAAGAUCCUCCAGUCCAGAGGGCCCCUGUGCCAAGCCUGGCUCUAAGGAUAUUAAAAAAAGGGAAAACCCAUCUUCCCCCAAACCUUCUUCCAUUACAGAAAAGAGGUUUUCCGCUUCUAUCGAAACUGUCAAUGGAAGUUAUUCAAGCCACUUGGAAAACGUCAAUUGCUGCUUUUUUGGUCUUUAUGUUGGCAAAACCAUCCGUCAUGGGGACAGAGUGAUCCUUCCAUACAUGGUUUUCAGAAGAAAGGGAGAUAUUGUGUGUGCAUGUGUGUGUGUGUCUUUAUGCCCUUUAUACACUGUGGUGUUGUAUGCAAGUAUUGUUGAUCUGCUGAGCACAUGUGCAGCUGACAGGUCUGUGAAAUAUCAGCAUCUGCCUUGUUUCUCUCACUGCAACCUUUGCAAACGAUGUGGACACGAAUACAUUGCCAGUGUAUGUGUGUCUUAUAAAGUGUUAAAUGAAGAGCUGUUUCAUGUUGGCACCAGAGCAGCGAGAGCCACAAUGUGACAGGCAGGCCCGAGGCGACCCAGAAAUGUGCCUUCUUGGAACUUCCUUCUCAUUCCUCGGGCACAAGAAUAACAGUGGCGCAGUGGCCGCCUGACUCCAAAACCAACAGUUUUGGAAAUAUCUGUUACAUUUGCAUCCCAAAUAUUCAGUUGUGCUUUCAUGACACUCUCUUUUUUUUUUUUUUUUUUUUUUUUGGGGGGGGGGGGCUUGACAGUGUUUUAUUUUUCUUCCUUUAUGCCUCUUGAGUUUUCUUGUCAUACUUGGCUGUUUUUGUGUUUACUCAUCUCCUCGGCACACAGGGUGGGUUAUUUUAGGCUGUGUGGAUGUGUGACUGCAAACAAUAUGUACAACUUACGGUAUGACUACAUGCGGCAACGGUGUAAACAUAGUUCUUUUUUUACCACAAUGAUUGUGACAAAUUCCGUCAGUCGUGUCAUGUCACCACUUUUGAUGUCAACUACUUCCCUGUAAGUGUUUUCCUGAUAGCAGUUGUUCAUUCUUAAAAAAAUAACAGCUCGGCACUUAGGGAAAAACUUUAAUUGCAUCCUUGCUGAGAGUCAAUAACUCUCAUUCCUGCACGGUGAAUACUAAGCUACCAUAUGCAGCCUGUUAACUUAUCUAAGCAUAAAAAUGGGAAAGCAGUUAGGCUGGCUCUGUCCAAAGUUAACUAAAUUCACCUCUAAAGCACACUGAUUAACACACUAUACCAUGUUUGUUUAAUUACUAGAACCACAGAAGUGUUAAAAUGGCAAUUUGUGGUUUCACUGGGCUGAUGUGUUAUUUCUUGGCUGGGAACAGUGACUUCCUGCAAUCUUACUGUCACUGUGAGGUCUGCAGACAACCAGCACACGGCCAAGAUACAGUCCAGCACGCAACCUCUUUGAAAACAAGGUUUUCUUUAUGUGCACUUUUUUUUUUGAACAGAUUAAAUGAUCAAGAUUUAAUGAGUUAAUUACUGAGCUUUAAGGAUGCUGGUAGGCAGGUUUUGUUACUUCUGGACAGAGUCAUACUGUUUCCAGGCUUUAUGCUAAGCGAACCAUUAGGGUGUGGGCAGACAGGGCUCCAGCACCAGAACAACCACUCAAAUCUAGAGCAAACACUGCAGACAAAAGCGAGAGGGCAAGAAAAACUGGAACAGACGUUUCUUGUGCAGAUCCCUCCAGCACCCCUCUUUAAAAAUGAGAAUGAACCCUCCUGACCUGCUUUUAGCCAAUCAGCCAGUGACACCGGGCUCUGGUAUGGCUAGAGUAAAUAGAGAGGAGAGUAAUCAGCUCUCACAUAUCUGUGAUGAUAAUAUCACCCUCUUAGUUAUACUUAGUAAUAAUUAAUGAGAUGCUGUUGUUGCUGUCCACUGCCUUCUUCUAGAGCUGCUUGCAACAGCUCUUCCUAAGUUUUCUUUUAACAUACAAUAUGUUCUUAUUAUGUGGAGAUUUAAGCAGUAUUAGGGAUGCAACUGGACACUUUUACGCUUUAAGACCAAAAUGUAGAAAAAAAUUUAGCAAAAAUAAUAUAGAAAUAAUAAAAAUACAUUUGUAACAUAUAUAAAUCUGUAAAACCCAACUGUAGAAAAAAAGCAAACUUAUUGUAUAUGUAAACAAUACAAAAAAUAUUGAAAAAAAUAAAAUUGAUGUUGCUUUUUUUUGCAACAGUGGGUCUUACAGGGUUAAACAUUAUCUGUUGUUUUUUUUCCCCUCUCAAUUAACAAUUUAGCCAUCAACACCUCAGAACAUUGUGAUAAUAUAAUGUCCCCAAGGUGAGUUCUUUAAGUGCUUUCUCUGACCAACAGUGUCAAACCCAAUGAUAUCCAGUUUACUAUCAUCUAAAGGUCAGUUCUUGGUUGCUGCAUCCUCCCGUGCUGGCUCAUGUGGACUUUAAAAGCAGACAGCGGAUGCGUUUCUAUUCAUACUACAAUAGGUAUGUGUGCUACACAGACGGUUGCAUCGCUCCUCAUAUCAAACACAGAAUAACAUACAGAGCUCUGGGUUUCUGCAAGGCUGGCUGUGACUUUGCACUUUUUACAGGAUAUAGCAGCUGGUUACAGAUUGGGCUGGAGCACUGUGUCAUUGUGAUUAUUCCUGAGGUGUGCCGAGCACAGUGGGCGGACACAGUACUGGGUUUCUGCAUAAUUUUCACUGUGUUUGGGCACCGUGGAGAGAAAGCACAUAGCUACAAAUCAAAGCACUCUCCAGUCCACCAUCCACUACUUCAGUUACAACUCUUUUUAACAAUAAAUGACAAAAGUGUGGAUGACUCCACAAAAGCAGCAUUUGUUUAAACGCAGUUUGCUUUCCUGGCACAUGUGCAGUCAACGCCCUCCCAAAUUUUGGGCUGCGCAUGGAUAUGUCCAGAGGGGUACACACAAAUCUUCACAAACUUUGGUAGAUGAUAAAAUUUAUGACAUGUGGACCCUGGCAGACAAACGGACGCAGAAAGCAUGAAAUAGCCUUAAGGCAAUACAAGGAAAAGCAUCAAAACCAUCCUGGCAUUCAAGAAGCUGGAACCAGGAACAUGUUUCACAAUUUUGCUUAGAAAAUGGCUUUAAAGAUCAUUUCAUUAUCUAUAAGUUGCUGAUUAAUGUUCUGUCAUUCGAUCAAUCAGCAAAUCAUUGCAGAUCUGCAUUAAAUUAAAAUCAGUUGCAUCACUGCAGUUGGCUCCAAUGGGAGUGAUAUCAAUCAUCUCAUCUAACUCUUAGCAAGAACGCAACUAAAUGUAUUUCCAAAAAUCUGGAGUUAUUUCUUUGAGAGCUCAGUGCUCUCAAAACAGACUAAGUAAUUCAAACAUAUCCAAAGGCAAAAAUGUUAAUGUCUGUUCUCAGUGGCCCCACUCAAAGGCGUGAUGAAAGGUCUGCUGGCACUACUGACAAAAUGUGGACAACUGCAGGCAUUUUUGAUCAGUCAUUGCACUAAACACACACACAGACAAUAAAACACACGCUCAAAUAUAAAGCAUGUAAAAGGAGAGUUGAGAGAUAAGUUGAGCCCCACUAAUUCCCAUUUUCCAAAAGCUGGAAAGCUGCUUCUGCAUGCGUAGCUCCACUUAAAGGUACCAGUUAAGUGAAAUUAAGCGAAACCACAGCACUGCUAGUCUGCUCAGAUUCUAAAAUAUUAAUACAGUAUUGAAUACCCACCUGCAUCACAGUCUGAUCUCACAUUCUCUCAGUUUACUCACGUCUGGUGACAUUUCAAACUCUAUGCGCCUAAUUGUCAAAUUGCCUUGGGCCGUAUUAAGCAAGAGGGGGAUAAAGAUGUCUCAAAGCAGCAUCAGCUGAGGAGAUAUGGAGACUAAAAUAAAUGCAGCCGUCCUCAUCCUGCCAGCAGAGCCUUAGCAACAGUUACAGUUGUUUCAUAAAUCAACUUGUUAAAAGGCACAUGCACAUAGCAGAAUAAACACUCUCCUUUCCUCACGGCUGUAUGGGAGGAUGGGGGUGGGGACGGUCAGGAGGUGAUGGAGUUUGGAGGAUAAACUUGGCUAAACUUUGUCAGAACACCGAAUUCCCCUCAUCCGUCCCCAUCGUGCUAUCCUCCCCUCUUCACCCAUCCAUUAUUAACCUGCUCACAAAACAGUGUGAAAAGCUAAUAUGGUUUGCAUUUAAAAAGCUAUUACAGAACCUGAACAACUUUCUUUCAUUAUUUAAAAUGUCAAAAGCUUGAAUAAGCAGCCUUUUAUACAAUGAGCAGUCCCUCCAGGAAUAAUUAACACAAAUUCAACCGUUCCUCACUUUAUUUGUGGGAGCUUGCGGUUUUGUCACAGUAGUGCCUGCAGAUUUGACCAGUGACUGCUUUUUCUCAAACAAUCCAAUUUAGAGCUCCCACUGCAAGUACAGAUGAAAUAAAGUCAAACAUCAGACUUCAACUUAAUUGCAGAUAUCUUAAUCAGCUAGGUAUUUGCAGUCUUCUGAAUUUGGCCACCUUUGCUGUGCAUCAGUUUCAACAAGUGACUGCUAAACAAACCAUCUGUGACCUCAAACCACUAAAGCUUGUAGAGAGUCGUAUUUUGCAAGAUGUUGAAUCGAACUAUAGUGAUUCCACUUCAAAUUUGGGUGCAACUUGUAUUAAAUAGUUACAUUUUCUGAGAUAAUACAAUGCCAGAAACAGACCACACGAUGUUUUUACUAACAGAUAAUCUCUGUAUCAGAUUUAGUGAUUGCAGAUUCUGCACAGAACCAUGAAAAAUGAUUGCUUGUUAUGUUUCACAUCGUGACUGACAUGCUCAGAUGAUCAGAAAACGGUCAUUACUUCAGUGUUCCACCUGACAGAACCAACAGCAUCAUGCCUCUAUCAGAUUGCGAUGUUUAAAGCUGUGUGUAGAAUAGCAUCGUGCUCCAACAGUUCACAGUGUAACAUCAAACUACUGGAAGCAAUGCAGGAAAAAAUUGAGCACGCUAGUCUUUUUGUCAGUAUGCUGUCAGGCGUCCAAGAUGCUGCAACGGCUGUCUUACAGUAUGACACACUACAUGGGAUAAGACAAGUAAUAAUCAUGUCCAAGUAAUAAAAUGCAUCAAUGUUUCUUGGCGUCAGAAGUGAUCUGAGCAAGAUCUUGGUGGGACUGCAUAAAAGGCAUGCGGUGAAAUGAAUCGACAAUUUGUGGAUUUACUUCAAAUCUGAUGAAACAAAUUUUUUCAUUAUGUUGUUUUCAGUUGCUGCAUGUUGUUUUGCUGUGAGCCUGACUGUGUCCAACUCGUGGCUGUCAGCAAUUUUGGCAUAUGGACAGAUUUGCUAUGAUGCUUUGGGCACAUUUUUUGUUCGCAAAAUAGGAGCAUUUAAAGAGUAGAGCGCUCGUUUCCAGUGUCGACGCUGUUUCUCAAAGCUGGAUCUAUGAUCUCAGAUCUGGAUGUCAGAAUGCAUAAUAGACUGCCGCACAGAAGAUCUUUGGCUCGAUACUACAUAGUAAUACUCAGUCCAACACAGACAGGCCUGGGACUCCAGCAGUAUCCUGGAACUGCUUUUCAGAAACAGUGAUUUAGUUUAUUUUGACAGGUAGCGCACAAUGCUCCAAAAAUUGUUAACCAAAACAGCAGCUCAUUAAACUUACGGAAAUGCGGCCUUUUUAUGGUAGCUUUUCCUGUUCAGCCUCAUGUUGUAGGCAAGUAGGUAGGCACACAUCGAAUCUGUGUGUCGGCAGCAAAUGUAGAAGCCGACAAUAUUUUAUUCUGACUUUGUUACAUUACAAAGAUGUAUUUGGGGAGGCUUUGGCAAGGAAAUGCUGCAUAUAGUGCCAUUUAGGGAGUCAUUUAAACCUCAAGCUGAUCUACUGUUAGUCAAACCCACAGGAGGCUGCAUAAAAACCCUGACUGGCCUCAACUAAAAUUUACCCUCCUUAGCUGGUUACCACCAAGUCAACUGUUGUGUUCUUUGUGUGAUGCAGCUCAGAGGGACGUGCUGUGUUUUAGUCAUAAGGAUAAUUAACUGGUCACAGUCGAGUUUUCCAGGAAAUUGACUGUAUUAGCGACACUCAUCUCUAUUCUCACCUCCUUCCUUUUAUUUGUUUUUUUCCCACUUGGCAACUGUCACACAGAGAGCUUUGAAGUGGGCGUAAAUAAGGAGACGUGCAUGCUUAAUGAGCAAGAGUAAAAACGGCUUAAUUCUUGAUUUAGCAGCGCGACUCUGCCUACUGAACUGAAUGUCGAGGCAGCGCGGUUGCCUAAUUAAGUUGCCCGUUAACAAAAAGAGGCCAACAGCGACAUUUGCUGUUAUGUCAGCCAGAUCAUAUCUGUUCAGCUUCAAUUAUUCUGUGGAAAAGUCCACCACAUCUGCAAUCAAACACUGAUUUCACCUUCUGAACUCGCUUGUCAAACAGAUUAACAGCUGACGGCGACUUGCCAAAAGGAUAUAAUGAGUCCAUAUUGUAUACUGACAAUCACUUCUAGUCGGUGAUGUGUUCAGUGCCAGGAAGUGAAAGAGAGAGAGAGAGAGAGAGAGAAAAAAAAACAAGAAGUAAGGAAUGGUCUUUUGCUUUCAGAUUUACAGCCAUGGGGUCAGCAGUGGAAGUGGAGCUGGAGCAGAGUGGUGCAGAACUCUUCUCCUCCCUCCUGGCCUCCUUCCCUGCUCCCACCCCAUUAUUUAUUAUUUAUUUUUAUUUUUUGCUCUCUCUCACUGUAUAUGGGUCACACUGUGAUUGUGUGUACAUACAGGUGAAUAUGUUCUCUUUUCCACUGAGCAUAUGGAAAUAAGUACUCAGUACAGUUACCCCUAAGUUAACGUAACACAGUGGAACAAUGUCGCAUUUACAGCAAAGGUCUCCAAAUGUCUACUUGUGCAAUCAUGCACAGAAUAUAUGGUUGUGUUUCAAAAGAGGACUCACUUUGAAGUUCUCAUCACCUCUGCAGAAUUUGAAACUAAAUACUCAUGAUCCCAAAUGAUGAUUUUCUAAUGUAACAGUGUGUGGGUGAUCUGACCUUUACGCGACUGAUGAGAUAGUUUUUCGUUUUGUAUGCAAAACUCUUUUUUUUUUUCUGUGAAGAUUUACAUCAUUUUUAGACAUCCCAAAAUCUAAUGUUAUAAUGGACAGUAAAUAAUCUGUACAGGACUCACUCAAUCUGAAGAAAAAGUACCAUUUAUAAUAUUGUCAUUUUUCUAAAAGUACCUAAAAUUAAUCAUAGAGAACACAACUAUUUCUAGUUUGACACAACAAACCAAAUCACAACAGCAGGCAUUAUUUCUAAUGUGAUGAUAGCACAGACAACAAUAUCAUUUAUUUAUUUAUUUAAAAGUGAUUUCUUAGAGAAUCUGUAACUAAACUGAAUCCCUGAGCUUGUCUAUGAGUAAGUGUGCUUGUGCCUACUCGUUUACCUGUGUUGCUCAUGAGAAGUCAUCACAAUCUCAGCCCAGGCAGGAAGGCAGGAUGUUUUUGAUGAAGCAGUGGGCUUAAUUUAGGCCCAGGCAUUCUCAGUAUCUGUCACCUAACUCCCAGCGAUCUCAACACACAGUGCAGGAGGUGUUUGUGUGUAUGUGUUAGCUCAUGUUUAUCCAGGGAGGCGGGUUACAAAUUCAAGAAAUGUACACCAACAUUUGGCUCUCUAAAAAGACUUGAAUAACUCCCAAAUGUAAAAAAAACAACAAAAAACCAAACCCAUCCAUCUUUUAACUAGAGAAAUAGUAAUAAUAAUAGCUGCAGCUGUACAACAGACUUUCGUGAUCGAGUGUCUCUUUGAUAUGAUUUUAUUGUGAAGUAUUAAUACUCGCUAUUAAAAAAUAAUCCCAUUAAACCUGCCAAACGCCCAGAAUCUUGAUUUCUUUUUCUCAAGGAACUGGCUUGGUUGUAGCUCCUGCUUGGCUAUAAAAUAACCAAACAGGCAUAGGCAUUGCCAGCAAACCAGCAAAAGCAAAGAGCGAAUGCCAACCACCUCUGCCAAAGACUUGAGCUCGCACCCAGUGUUCUUCUCUUACUGGUACAUAGAGAAAUUUUCUGCCUACUCCUUUGAAUUACUAAAUUUUUCUGCCUGUAUGGACAUUGUUUUUAUUCAUAAUACUUCAGAAUGAGCAAGUCCUGUUGUAAAGCAGCUCCAUAUUAUAUGAAGUAAUUACAUGAGCCUUCAUUUUCUUGAUCUCGCCGCGCUCUUCUUUGAUGAGCACACAGAUAUGGUGAUAGGAGCAAUGUGGUUUUUUGAAAACCCCGUAAGACAAUCUCAUGAUAGCCUGACCUCGGGCUUGUCGUCAUUUCAAUGCUGCAUUAAAUGAACGUGCUGCGACUCGUCAAACGACAGCACGGACCGCUGAGACGAGAGCCGUGUGGUCGUCACGCAUCCAUAACGAAUGGAAAGAAAGGAAGACCACACAGCAGCAUGGUCAGAUCAGGUUGUCAGAGACCAUAUUUAAAAUCUGGGUCAGAGUCCAGGCCAUAACCUCGCUCUCACUGUUGCUCCACACUCCCACUUCACCUUCAUCUCAUCCCACUACCCUGUCUUUGCCUUCCCUCCCUCUCUCUUUACACCUUUAUCUCCUCACCCACUUUUCAUAUUUGCGUCUUUAUUUAUUUCAUUCACUCCCUCAGCCUUUUUUCUUGUCUUCCUUUCUCUUGGUGUGCUGCCUGAGCCAUCCACAGAGGCAGCAGCUUUGCCAUCUGCCUGUGUUGAGUUUCACAGGCAGCAUCGUAGAUCUGAGAUCAUAUUAGUGUCACUGUAAAUGAAAAUGAACACUGCAUUUUAAAAUGUAGUGAUCUAAACGUGCCUAUUUAAAAUGAAUGAAUAGUUGAGAAUCAAAGAAUGGAGGGUUUUUAACUGUUGCUGUUAUCCCUUAAUGAGAAAUUAAGGAAAUUUAAGGUGAGUAUACAGAGCAGCGAUAUGAUUUAUAUGCAGGCUGAAGAGCAGAUAGAAGCCUGAGAGUGUUACAAUAACCCCAUUCAGCUCUACUUUAUAACAAGAAAACAAAACAUGCCCUGCUGGACUUACAGAGGACUUAAAAUGGAUAAAAUAGAAAAUUCUGAAUGGCAUCCUGGGCAAUAUGUCAAAGACUUGCUCCAAUAUCAAACUUACUCUGUCAAAAAAAAGCUUAGAAGGCUUUAACGUCAGAUUGAUGAUUUUGCACGUGUAUGUUAGCGAUAGUCGCUAUACGUUGUUAGCUAGGAGGCCAGUGCAUACAGGAAUAAUGCUGGUUUGUUCUGGUUCUUGUAACUCUGAGCGAGUAAGCUUGCAAUGCACACAGACUGUUGAGAUGCUACAUACAGUCAGUGGGCACAGCUAGUGUUAGUCAGGGAACAUUUCCAUGCAUAGGUCUGACAGCUUGUUUAAAAAAAAAAAGCCUUGUAUUGUUUUUUAUAUGUACAUGUAUUAAACACGAAGGAUAUUAUUUAUUAGUAGAAGCCUCUUUAAGACAUCUUUUACAGAGCUGGGCCAGCUGUUAACGUCCAACGUUGUGCUAAAAAAAACCUUAUCAUGUCAAUCCUAUAAAUAGAAAUGAUAUUUCAUCUAACUCCUAGUCAAUCAUUAUUAUUUCUUUAAAAAGUCUGAAUGCGCUUUCAGAAAAUCCAAUACAUCGCUGCUUGGAAAACUGAGAAAAAGAGCCAGAGACAGAGUUUGAUUUAAGAUUAAGGAGGUGCCACAAUGCUGCCUAUUCUCUGAAGCAGACCUGGCAGGCCUGCAGCAGCCGUAACUGUGCUUUUGCUGCUAUUCAUCACAGGGAAAAUGGCAAACACUGUACAAGUCAACUGGCAUAAAUGUUCGUUCUUCUUUUCAGCUCAGUGGCUCUGAACCUAUUGUGGGGCUAACAUGGCUGCCAACAAUAAGACAUGAUGACAUUGUCCUGCUCUCUUGCUGGAGGCCUCCCAGUAAGGAGUUCUUGUGAAUGCCUCUUCAGUGUGACAUGGAGACGGGCCCGCAACCACCAGCGGAGCCUGAGCUGAGCUGCUGAGCUGCUUUAGAGCCCUGCUGAGACCUGCCAGGCCCACAGCUUUCCCUGCCAGGGGCCUCGGCUCACAGAGUGAGUUACAACCCAUGCUCCUGACACACAUGCUAAUACAGAAAUACGCAUCCAGUAUGUAGGCAUGCAGGCGCACGCACAGGUGGAACACAUAGUGGAGUAUAUGUGUAUAACCUUAAACUAUCAUGUAGAGGAAAAAAAGCUUCUAUUGGACAACUUGAUAGCGAGUGUAUACACAGCUACUUGUGUCCCCAGCUUUUUUAUUCUUGAGCUGGAACUGCAGUGACCUCUUAAACACACACAUACCCCCACACUCCAAGAUAUGGUUAUAUGCAAACAAAAUAUAUGGGCUCCAAGCAUGCACACAUGCAGUAAAGUGAGGAUGUCCUCUAACAGGAGCUCGAUCUGUCAGGGGCAGUUUGAGAUCAAGGUCCUGCAGCUGCUGGAUCAGCUGGAUUGAUCUGUCUGGGUAAACAUGAAGAGUGGAAAUGAGCACGUUUGUGAUUAAGAGCUUAACAGAAAGUGCGUCUGUGUGAGAGAGCGAGAGAGAGAGGGAGGAGGUUCAGUGUGUGACCGUUUAUAUCCUGUACAGAAGAGACAUAUAGGUAUGUCAGUACAGUAUGUUCUUCCAACUUAAUCUUUUUCAUAAUGGCUCACAGGAUCACUAUAUCCAAAUAUGAAGACAUGAAGAAUAUAGCCUGAGUCUGCUGAAGAGAAUUAGUCCAACAUGGUCUUGGUUCAGUGCCAGUGUUUCACAUUCUUCACUGAAAAAAAACAUUCUGCUAUAUGUAAUCCAAUGAUUUGUAUAUUCUUAAUGAUGAAAAGUCUCAAGGUGAAAUGUCUUUAAUGAUUUAUUGCAUGUGCGUAAGGUGAUUUCCAUGUUUAUAUUAUACUAGUUAGAUGUUUACAUGGCUUCCUAUGAGUUCCCAUGAUCCUAUGAUGUCGCGUCGUGACAAAUUAAUUUUGUAUAAAAAAUGCAUUAGUGAUAGGAUAUGAAGGGCUGUUCUGUCUGAGCUCACAUGAAAUAUGACAUCAAAGGUUUCUGUGGCUUUAUUCAUGCAACCACUUUUAAAGACAGGCAACCAUGUUUACUCAGGAUUCUAUACAUAUACUGUUAAGGAAAUCCCCAAGAAUGCAACUAAAACCACUGAAUGGACCUCAGGGGUGGUACAAUUUAACAAGACCCACAGCUUUCAAUGUGACCAUUUUUCAACCAAUAAAGCCCUUUUCAGACAUGGGAUAUGUAACAUCAACCUGUUAAAGUGGUGGGAUUCUGUUAUUAGACAUAGGUCACCUUCACAGUGACAGAGGAAGCCACGGUCCACGCACGAUACCUGACAUAUGUGCGAGAUUGGACAGCAUGUCAAGUGACGUAUAAUGCUGAAUUAGGUUAUGUCACCCACUAUACAUAAUAACAUCCUUCAUCAGCACCUUGUAAUCGUGCACAUGCACAUCUGUUAAUGCAAGUGUGCAGACUGGUGACAUGUUGAAAGUGAUACCUAAAUGUUACUAGGUGGAAGCUAGUAAGAUUGCAAUAGCGACUUUUACGUAAAAGUGCACAGGGAGCUCAUUCAGAUAUUGUGCCAGCAAAUUUAGAUCCUAAUAGAUUAACUGAAAGAAAUGCGUGUCUAAAUGGGGCUUUAAUUAUUUCAAUUUCUGCAAGUAGCUACUGUUCUAUAGUUGUAUGGUUUAGUUAUAGUUCUUAGAGGGAGAUGCACAGAGUCUAAUAAGCUGCUUUGAGUUAGUAUGAGGAUAAAAGUUGAAAAAUGACAAAAAUCUGCAUUUAGUGUCGAGCUGAUGGGACCUCUGUAGCUUGGUAGCAUCUCAAGUCUACAUUUUCCACUACUAGCAUACUACUUCUGCACUUCCAUCUAAACUGCAGUGCAUCACGUUGCACUGUAGGUAAUGUAAGCAGACAUGGAAGAGAAAUGUGUUAAAUUGGAAAGAUGUUAUCUUUGCUUCUACUGUGUUUAUACUUUAAAAAAAUAUAUAUAUUGCUAUAUUGAUAUGAAGAGGCUAAAAGCUAACUAUGUUAUGUUUAGAGGCUCCAUCUCAAAUUGAACAUUGUAAUGAUCCACAACAUGCAUGACGGCAGAAUAUAUACCAGUAUGUGCUAACUGUUCACACCGAGUGCACGUGUGGAUACAUCAAUAUAUCAACUGUUCGUGCUGCUGUCCACAGUUUUGGAGUAUAUGAGGGCUAAAAACUGCAUGGACAAACUUUAAAAUGUUUCACACAAAGCUCUUACUUGUGUCAUUGCAAACUAUGAGAACCUUGAAAACAAAACAUGAGGCACACAUCUGGUGAAAAGUGUGCAGAAAUAACAUUCAAAGCCAGCAAGUUACCCAGUGCUGUUUCUGUGUAUAGUGCACAAAACUGUGGGAAUUUGCUUUCAGGUUUGGUUGUAGCUACCUGAAUUAUGUCAUGUAGCUUAUUCUAUUAUAAGAGAAAGCUGUCAGUUCCUCGGUUUAUUACGACCAAGCUGUAUCUGAACGUAACCAUAUUUAGCACUCGUAUGAGAGCUGACAAACUUUUUUUGCUGGCUACAUGAAUGUAUCUCACAGCAGUAAUACAUUGCAUGUGUGCAUGAGUAGCUAUAGGGUUUGUGUCUACAUUAAUCGCUGGAAUGUUGAUGUGGUCCAGAGUUUAAUAGAAUGAGGCGUGGGUGUGGAGUAAGAGUCCCCUGGAGCAGAGUUAAGGUCUUAAAGUACUAAAAAGCCUUGACCCAGACCCGAUACACCCACUCACAGGGACACAGCACCUCUUCUCCAGUCCAGCACAUGCUUCAUACUCUGACAAUAUGGCAAAGAAAAACAGAAUGGGACACGCACCGACAAACAGGAACACAAGAAAGACAAGGAAAGAAUAUGACUUUAAACAACAAACAUGCACAAAAUGUACCCGGCAUUCUUUCUCCCUAACUCAAACACAAACACACACACACACACAGACACACAAACCAGAACACAUCCCUGUUGUCUUGUGUUGCUCGUCAUGCAAUGAGGAGCACAUGACUUAAAUCGGGUGUGGUGUAUGACCUCUUAUCGGACAAAAGCGUCCCACAGAGAGAGCUGAUGGGGGAGACUGUCUCCCUGCCAGUCCUGUCUGUCUGCAGUCACGAGGUCUCCAUCCCAUUCGCCACGCUGUGUCUCGUGGUUCAAAGUCCAUAAAAUGUUUGAGCUAAAAAAUCCCCUGCUUUUAAGACAUUCAGCCAUGGCGGCAUGUUGUCAAUAAAUCAGCUGCUUAGCCUGAGGAGAGCAACGUUAGCUGGAAGGGAGGAAGUGCAAAAUGUUUUUUCCAAGAAUGAGGCCUUUGAAUUUUUUUUGUCGUGUCCUAUAAAUGUCUCACCUGGAGGGCCUGAUGUCUCUCAGUGAGAAUGGUUGGUUUGUAUUUCACACAUUCGCCAUGACACCUCGACAUGCUUAUGGAGUCAUGCAGAGUGAAACGCAAAUAUUUGAGUGGCAGAAGUUAUAUUAACGGACCUCUUUCCUGUGUCUUACUGAUCAGUUCUUUAUCAUUUAACUGUCAAAAAGGUGAUGCUAUCUGUAAGCAACAGUGGUGACACAUAAGUCUUGAUCUCAUCAACCAAAGAUACACUUGAACAUAUUUCAGUUUCAGUGUCAAGACUUGUCAGCAGCAUUGAUGAUUUCCUUUCUGAAACCUCUCCGACUAUUGUGGCGCUCAGAACAAAAUGUUGCUUGGGAAAACAUGGUAUGUUGCAUGCUAGGUUUCAUAGUCCGGUAGUUAAAGCACUUGUGCAGGUGUUAAAAUGGCUAAUAAAGCAAACUAUCUUUUCCUGGUUGUGAACCAGAGGACAAGGAUGAGGAUUAUAAAGUUUAUAACUAAAUCUCUCCUCUUUCAUUAUGCUAAUAGCCGAAACAGGCUGGAAAAUGUGACUAAAAUGGUGAACUCAAAUUGAGCAGAACUCUGUGACGAUGGACUGAAUGUGUGUGUUUAUGUGUCUGUCCCAUCACGAGGCAGUGCCAUUGAGAGGCAAUGCCCUGAGGCAGCUGGCCACAGUCCACCAAGGGUACUUUAAAUUGGACUAAUGUUCACUAACGCAGUGCUACAAGGUCCAUCCACUGUCGACAUAUGAAAAGGACAAAUUGUCUGGUGCAGUGCUGAUGACUGCGUGAAAAUCAAGUGAAGAAGCUUUGAAUCGCCACCCUGUAUGUGACCGUGAAUAAUUCCAGAGUGAAUCAAAGAAGCAAAAGAUGAACUGAGGAAGGUGAAGACAGAUGUAAAAGACAGAUAGCUGCAACGGUGAGGUUCUUUAAUGGCUGCCCCGAGGAAAUAUUGGCUAAAUGAAUAUGUAGUGUAAAAUAAGGUCUGUCAGAUGUUUUAUUUGUGAUUAUGUAUAUGAAUUAUGUGUAAUAAGUUGAAUAAAAAAUCUCUUCAGAACUAUUUUAACUGUGCUGUCUGUGUGUAGAAAACUUACUGUAAACUUUCACUUGGAUAAUGGAAAAUGUCUUAGAUGCCUCUUAUUGAGAUGUGCAUGGAGAUACAAACAUCUGCCCAACCUGUUUGUAGCUCUCAGCUCAUUUUUUGGUAACUUGUUUUUUGAUAAAUCUAUAAAAACAGUUGGAAUCAUUUGUCAUUUCCUUUGACAGUUGAGCACUGUAAUUUUUUAGUAGACAAUGCUUAACCAGGAGAAGAGAGUACAUUUAUUCGGGACUACUUUCAACUGUGGAAUAAUACACAUGUGGUGCUCCAAGAUCUUAUAUGUGGGAUGAAUUAAAAAUAAACUGCAGCACUCAUAAAAUGUUAAGAUACUUUUUUGUGUUGAUUACAAACUAUAUUCUCACAGUUUACUAAUUUAACAGGGUGAUGUAAAUCUUUCCUUUUCCUGAUAAAUCAAUGGCAAUAAAAAUUUUCUUUGCAACCACUUGUGGAUUUAUUGUAAUUAAUCAGAUGAUGACAAGCUGUGCAGGAAGAGGUGGGACUGCGUUUUGGCUUCUUCAGCAAACAUGAAGGAAAACAUGUGGAACGGAGCACUGAUACAAUCUUUGGCCUCAUGUAUGACUUAAAAAUGUUCGUUAUCUUGUUUAAAGUAAGAAUAAAUCAGUCAAAUGAUGGCAACAGAGUCAGCAGAAGCAGCUGUUGUGAUUUGGACCGUUUAAAACGUGAGUCGAGAAGCGAAGCUUUGUUAAGGAGGCAAACUGGCAACAGAACAGCUAUUAUCAAACUUCAAAGACAGAUGCAAAAAGCACAUCUGACGCAUCAUGUGACCGCUCACCCAUCUGAAUUCUACGACUUAGUUUUGGUUGUUGUGCACAGCAGCAAGCUACAGUGAGCUGGAAUGUUUGUACCUAAUGUUCCUAAUAAAUACAAAUACUACAUCAAAGACGAUUCACUUAUUUGCGGUGUGGUCACAUGCAGUUCUAAAUUUCCCAUGUACAGCAAGUAGUCACAAAACACUUUCAUGUCAUUCAAUAUAAAUUCGACUUUUGCUAUGGUUGAAAAUGUUCAACAACCAAGCACACAUUCACAUGCACAUGCACAUGAACAAAAGCAUAUGUGAGAUGGAACCAGGAAGCUAUCCACUUCUUGAAAAGAGAAAGUACGUUAUCAGGCUUCAGCUGCUAUGUAAAACAGGACAGUUAGGCAUCCAAUAUCUACGCAAAAUGACAGCAAAAGGAAAGGCCUUGAACUCAGUGAGGAGAAGAAAUGUGUAAAUGAUCUAACUAAUCUUGUUUAGCUCAGCUUUUUGAAUGAUAUGACUAACACAGAGAGAGAGAGAGAGAGAGAGAAACACAGGAAUAAUGAGUCAGACAUUCCAUGCAUAUGCAAUACAUUGCACACUCACACAAAUGUUUGAUAAGCUGUGGUAUGGUAUGCUGCAUGUUGCUGUUUGCCACUGAAAUGCUUUCAUUUCCAAAAAAAUAAAAAAUAGGCUUGUCUGAGAAAGAGGAAUGACACAAAUAUGGCAACUUGAGAUGUUUUAAAAUAGGCCAUCUUUAAUUGCACCACUUUUCAGUACCUUAUCUGGUAUGUGUUGAUAUCACUACUAGUCAUGUCUGAAGAAUCUGUGGUGAGUGUUUGUGUUGAGUUUUGCUCCCGAGGCACAGUUUGGCAAACCACAAAAUUCCUUCAAAUCCCUCCACCAAAUUAUUAACCGCUCAGAACAAAGCAAAUUGUAAACUGCUUGGAAAUGUCAUGUGAGGCCUUGUUUGAAUAAAAUAAAAGAGCUGAUGGACACGAGCAAUGUCUUGGCAUGCAGAAUUAUCAUCAUGACUCUGCAGCAUUUGAAUAAAUGCUUCCUGUUUAUACUUCCACCUAUCAUUUGCAGCAGCAACCCUCACUCAUGUAUUGUUAAACUGCUUAUGAAGCCCCUUGCAUCGCCUGAGCUUUGGGAAAGCACCUAUCUGAUGAAAUCAAAAGAAAAGCAGAGGGGGGUAAAAAUCAGUUACCUGCCAAAUGAUCCUACGCAUCCUAUUUUUAAAGAGAUUUGAAAGGCAGUUAAACUGUGGGAGGCCGAUGAUGCGCCCCGCCCAAAGAACUGCCCUUUCAUAAAGCCUGUGAGUCCAAUCUGGGAGCUGCAUCUCUGGGCCUACCCAUAAUUCCUAUGUGUCUGACCUAGGAGCUGGAUUAGGAGUCCCGUUCAUACAGACUGUGAUCCACACCCUGGAGCUGCACUGGAGGAACUGCUCACAUAGUCAAGCGGGACCUGGCUAGGAUUUGCAAACAUGCAGACACGCCUUAUCUGCGCUGCCUUUCUGCCAGAUACUGAACAGAUACACAGACGCUCGCAGAUAAAAUGGCAAAAGCUAAGCCAGAUGAACUCACACCGAUGAACUUUUAAUACAGCUCCUCCUAUCUAGCAUUCAUAACACCCGCUGUUGACAGUAACUAAAUGCAAGUUACAAGACGAAAAUGACUGCAGCAGUUUAUGUGUUUAUCAUCGGUAAAUACACACAGCUGUUAGCGUCCAGUGCAGCUAGUGAACAAUGCUGGCAGCUACACACCUCCAGCACAAGGGACACAUUAAGAGAAAUAGUAGGAGGAACUGGCCCACACUCUGCAGGCCAAUCCCUUGUGAAUGUGUGUGCGAGUGUUUAAUGUAAAAUGUCCUCACCCUCGGAGUAGGAUGAGAAUCUUAUUGCAAGUCACGUGGAUUGCAACAUGUCUGCAAAGGCUGUGAGUACAGAAAGCAAAAUUGGAGAGUGCAACAAGAUCCAUUAAAAGUAAAUUGAAUAAAUGUAACCUGCAUUUAUAUAACUUUUCUUAUGCGUGAAUCAGCAGCUUGAAAGUAGAACGUCACUCCAUUCAAUCUGCUUAAAGUUCAUGUUCAGCUGUGAACCCUCUAAGUUUUGGGCCACUUUAAAGUGACUGCAUUUAGCUUAAUUUGCUUUUAGUAUAUGUACUUUAGGUUUAUGACUUGCUGAGUAAAUGUGAAAGUGAUGGCUUAAGACAUCACACGUUCUCCUACUUGGAUUAGUCAAGUCCCACAGAGGGAGAUGAUGUUUCAAAUGUAAACAGAGAGGGAUGCCAUGCUCACCCGCUGGCAUGUUCCAUUGCUCAACCUGUUGAUCAGGCUCUUUCCCAAAGGGCUUGAGUGCAUAUUUUACUAUAGGCUGUUUCUGUUAGAAGUGGCACCUCGCACAGGUGGUUUCUCUGAAUAUCGCCUGGAGCUGAAUUGAUACAUUUACAAUUUACAUAAAAUGGGAAUCCUGUGGGUAGCAAACACGGAGCAAGUUUGUGCAAAUCGGCACAUGCGCUGACAUCACCCUGAAGAGCGAGCACGAGUUCGAUCUCAAGAGAGCCUAUUUUUGUGUUUAGAAAACCAAGAUGUCAAUAAUAAUGUGGGUGAAAGGCUGAACUGACAGCAAGCAGUUUCCACAGAAUGAACUCUAGUGUCUGUCUGGGUUUUGCAAGCGCACAAUAUCUCGAGUUUCAGCAGCAAUCCCUAUGGCCUACAGCGACAUAUGACCCCGACAUAACCACUGGUAUGGUUGGCUGUAAACACGCACACACAGACAUGUUUGCACACACACACACACCCAUACACAGGAGGACCUCCCUCUUAGCAAACCCUCUUUUUUCCGAUGGUCGUCGUGAGUAGCAGACGGUUUUGCCAUCCCUCUCCCAAAAUAGCCACCCGUUAGCACAGCCAGGUCAGAUGGUUUUGAAACAUCCAUGGCAAACGGUGCUGGAGCGAAGGUGCGGAGGGGGCAAAGAGUACGUGACCACCUCUUGGAGAGCUCCAGAGAGAUGGUCAUGGGUGGGCCUCAAGUGGAGGUUUCUUUCACACUUGGGUGACAAUGAGUGCUGGGGAACAAAGGAGGGGAGUCCAAGAAAAACUGGCGAUGUGUGUGUAUGUGUGUGAACGAGCAGUGUGGAAGCAGCAGGUGGUGUUUGCGUGAUUUAUAAUAUUUUAACAUAUGUAUGCAAAGAGUCAAAGUCACAAUGUCAUAUCUGGGUGAGCCUCUGUUCUAAAUGGCUUUGCAACUCAUUGUGAUCUCUCACUGAACAUUUUUCCCUUUGCCUUUGUGGGGAAAAAAAGAACCAAAAUAAUCAAAAGCAGCUUUAGUACUGGCUACGAAUUGAAACCUUUGUGAAUUUGACUAAAGGAUUUCUUUGAGAGCAUGGAAAAAAUUGCAAAGGUGGCAGCGCAGGUGUUCAUCAUCUUAACUGUAAUUACGUUUCAUAUUUUUUUCUAAAUUAACCAAUUACUUUCUUCUGUGGUCUAGAAAAUUCCACACCAUAUAGUCCUGUCUGAGCUUCCCCACAACCCCUCGACUCUCCAUUUUUGCCAGGCGGUGACAUGGUUUAACCUGCAGCGGUCUGGGGCUCGCAGGAAAUCGUGUUCCUUCAAAUGUCUAAACAUAUGAAGCGAGCCAUACCAAAUACUGUGGAGACAGGCUCUGAUCCAAGGUUGUAUUGUGUAGUUACAAACAUCAGAGAGAUUUUAAAUGGGGCUUUCUUACUUAUGAGACAGAACCCAGAAGUCUGGGUUUCACUUUGGAUCUCCGAAUAUAUAUUAGUAUACAUGAUUGACUGUGAGCAGUAUGUAGAGGUCAGAGCUUUCAAUUGGACACACUUGUCAAUAAAGAAAUGGAUAUUACCAAAAAAAAUGCAAGUAAAAAAAGUGGGGUAAAUUACUUUCAGUACUUUUACAAGUACUUAAGUAAACAAACACAGGCAAAUAGUGGUCUCUAAGAAACUAAGAAAUCCUUCCUGCUGAAUUUAUUAGUGUUUUUACAGAGUAAUCAGAACCAUGAUAAAAGUGAUUGCGUACAUUGACUCAAUACAAUUUUGCUGACAAGUUUCUAGGCAGUAGUGAGCAAUCACAUGCGCCAUCUGCUUUGACUGAUGUCGUAUUGAAGUUGGUUUUAGCCAUGCUAGCGUGCACAAUCUGUGGAGGAGUUGGCUAAUAGUUAAGAUGAUCUGCAGCCAGGUACAAACCACAAUAUACAUCCACUCUUACUCUCUUCGUCUCUUUCACAGGCAGACAUUUGGCGUAUUGAUUUAUCAGCUAAGUAGGCCGAAGCUUGACACAGCAACUGAACAUGCAGUCUCCUAAUGACUUAACCACAUCAACUCUUUCUCCUCUGUGCCGUUCACCCUCCCUUCAUCUCUCCCUUCAGGCACCAACCGUGGCUAGAACAUGUAACCUCCCCCCCUACCAUCUCAAUCUCCAGGCAGAACAGGAUCGCGAUGGCCCCGGUGAGACCAGAUCAAGCCAAUCCAAUUGCCGAGCAGGGAUCAAGUCACCAUGCUGGUGCUGCUCCCAGAAACCACCAGGAGCCAAACCUCCCGAGGUCUUCCCACCACAUCACACAGCCUGCUGCCUGGGCACAUGAGUGUGUGUGAGAGGAAGAGAAAAGAAAGCAGGAUUAAAAGAUAAAAACCAUAUGAGCAAACCAAAUCUAUUUUGAAGUACUAUGACUUCCUUCCUCAAAGAAGGCCUUUUUUUGUCCCCUAUGAUCACUCACUGGCCUUUUCACAAGCCUACGCUCUGGUCAAAGGUGAUUUAUUCAUUUUAUUGGCUUAUUUUCAUAACGUUGAGGAAUACUCAGUCAAGUAGCUGCUACUCACUAGCUGUAGCCAAAAAAAACAAAAAACAAAACAGUCUGUCAGCUGAGUUCUUUUAAAUUUCUGUUUUAUAUUUUUUGUGCCCUUGGCAAUAUUCGAUCUUAAAACAAGCUAGGGAUAUGUGGGUAUGUUUCAUCUCUGUUUUCUUGAGUGUGUAUGUGUUUGGGUUAUCCUUAACGGAACUGUAUGUGCAACCAAAUGAAAAUAUUGGACUCAGCAGGAAAUUUGAGGUUUCAUCAUAUGUCCAUGUUAACUUUAUGUGCUUGAAAAGAAACUUUACUUAAGUACAUUAAUCUUUAAAAAUACUCUAUUACAAGUUAAAAUUGAAUUAAAUAACAAUCUCCAGAAUAUAUAUUCAGCUUGAAGUUACAGUGUUAAUUAUACAAAAUGGCACAUUAUAUAGUAUUGUAUUACAAGUUUUCUGUGCAACAUUUAGAACCACUUGAUGUCGCUACAGCAAAAAGUAUCGCCGAUUACUACACCUUCCCCCCUCCUUCACAUUUCAUUUACAACUAGGAAGGUUCCAGACACAUAAAAACAGUAAAAUACACUAAAUCGUGACAGCAUGUUCAACUUGUUUAACAUUAUCUUCACGACGGUGAAUGCAGAAGCAGAAAAAAGCAAUGGAGACUCUCCCACUGAGCUAAAGUAAAACAUGCCUACAUAAAUCAGGUUAAACAACAUGAAUACAAGACUCUGUUUUAAAUUUUCUAGUUUUUUGUGGCACAGGCUAAAUGCUUGGACUGCACUGUCGCUUUUGCACUGCAGUGAGAGUUUACUCUCAGUCAGCUUAAAAAUGCAGGACGGACCAACAGUUUCAGAGUGAGGAACUCACAUGCACCAACAUGCACUAACAUGCAUGCCGGCCAGAUCGGCUAGCAGAACAAAGAAGCUCAGGCUACAUACAAAGAGAGAGUAACUUCAUUCUCUGCUAAGUACACCAUUACUCCAUUAUAUCUUUACAUAGCAGAUAGUUAUUUGCUGCGAUAUUAAGGCUACAUUUAUGCCCCAAAACUUGCAUAUAGCACCUUUAAAGAAAAAUAUACAAUUUUUCAAGUUUGACUUGCAAAAAUUCUCAGUGAACCUUAAAACAAGCUUUCCCUGCAGUAAUCAUUCCUCCUGUUCAUACUGAUCAAAACAAGACCCUUUUUAAAUUCCCUUUGUGCGCUCUCUGUGACCGAGGAGGCACAAAAAUCUACAGCCAUAUCCACUCACCUUGUCAAUUUCUGCUACUGGUAAAUGUACAUGAUGAGGGAGUCAGGCAACAUUCAGCUAUACCAUCUUGAUAGCACAACUCAACAUAUCGGUAUUUUAUGGGCAGAAGAACAUGAUAGUGUUAAAAAGAUUCCGUGAGCUACCUCUGAUUGACAAUGAAAGCUUCCCCACAGCAGUACUUACUUAAAAAUAGGUGAUAUCAUUUACUCUUUGAUGUGUUGCUUUGAGGAAAUCUCCAAGGAUCUCCUGUGUCCUUACACUUGUUUAUCAUGACAACAGUAUAAAACAUGUUUUCUCUAAGCGUUGUGCCAGUAUUCACACUAACAGCCGACAUAGGAGGAAUUUCUCUGCAGGUCACACGCUAAUGUGUGUGUGCCAUGUUUAGACUGUGGCAAUAAGUUCAUAAAAAACAGUUCCCUGUCAGUUUUAUGGCCGUUUCAUCUUGCAGAUCAUCUGUAUUUGACAAUCAGCACAGCACUGUGUCAGUUUUGGAAAAUGGUCUGGCAGCACCCACUGUCAUUCUGCUGUGUCUUGUUUUUAUUUCUUUAAACCAUCACAAUUGUCUUGAGUAGUGCUAAAACCAAGACACAGCGUCUCUCUGUUCGGGGGGAGUUUGUUUUGGUGGAACAUGUUUGGAAAAUUAACAUUUUCCGAAUCCACUGACUAAACAUGUAAGAAUAUCUCUGUGAGACAGAAAUAUUGUGUAUCUUGGUAGAUCUUUACAGUCAUUCACCCAAAGAACCAAACAGUCCUGCCUGACUGUAUCCUCCAAAUCUUAGCCAAAACUUGCCAUUUUCAGCAUUUAGAUUGUUAGCUAGGGAAUAGGAAGAGAAUGCAGUGUGAAUUAUGUGCCCACUGGUAGGCUUCUACCCACAGUCUACAUCCGCUGAAUCAGACUAUCUGUAUCUUGACCUCCUCCAUGGUUCAAAAAUUUCUGAACAAAUGUUCAGAGGCUGGCUUCAUUUUCAAGCCUGCCAGAUGAAAGCUGGCGAAAGAUGUUUCAUUAACUUGACUUUUGAAUAUAAUGGUGAAGUUAUCUUUUACUGCUCAAUUUUAAACUAAAAGUGUGUGACAACCCCGAACAACGUGAAAUGAGGCACGGAGUCAAGGUAAGAGGCCUCUCAAAGAAAUAGCUUGUGUUUUAUCUAACAGCUGAGCUAAUUUGCGUAGAGGUGCUUCUUUCUGUGCACGAUUGUUCUCUGCGGGCAUUGGGGUCAAGUUAACAGUCAGAAAAGCAAGUAGAUUAUUCAGCACAUUUACUUUGAUAUUGCUAGUAAGGAGGCUGGAGGGCAGGAGUUAUCCCUGGGGGAAGCUGUCUACCUCUGAGAUAUUAGGCAAUUAUUCAAACGCACAGACCAUCCAUUACCGACAUCCAUUCCAGCAGCGUAACCGUCUCUACAUGUUCCCUGGCUACAUGCUGCCUAGAAAACAUAUAGACCUUAACAAAAAAAACCAAAAAGCUUUUACACGGACCAAAUGCUUCACAUAUACAUACUCAGCUUUCAGCUUAACUAUGCUGCAGAUCCCAUUCUCAUUACAUGCAUUAAUGAUGUAGUUGUGACUCAGAGUUAUUUCAGAUAUUUAACCCCGCUCAGUGAACUGUAGCAGCACAACCAAACAUAUGUUUACACUGGCCAAGUCCCAGUGUACGCAUGGCUGCACAAUCAUGAUCUAAGGUUAGAAAGUUGUGGCCAUGAGUAGCAUUCCUUUACAAUUUACCUCAUGAUGUUUCUUGCCAGGAGCGACUUCUACUGUUUGAAGGUCUUCCUUAGAAAUGCUACAUUUAAUCGCAGAAGAUCCCAGUCAGUAAAAUGUUGGGUGAAUUCUGUAAUAGGAAAAGCAAUGUAUGUGCCAACAGUGUGUAUUCUUAUGUAAUGCAAUCCAGAUGUUGCUUCAAAUGUUUCUAUCAACUACUUAGUGUACUAGUGCUUAGAGCAAAAACUUUAGCAUGCUAAUGUACUGACAAUGACAAUCUCAUUAAGGUAUCUAAAACAGGUUUAAUGUGUCAGUUUUAUGUGAGAAUGACAGCAUUCACUAAUAAGAAGUAAAGAACGGACAGCAGUGGCAAAUGAAAAUGUUGGCAGUUUUUAGGUAUAGGCUGCUUAUUGGUUUGGGUGAUUAGCAGAUCUGAUAUGUAGCACUUUUUAUUUUUAAUUGUGAAUCUUUAAUUGUAAAUUAUUAUGUAUAUGUAAGAUGUGAAAUCUGAGUCUUUUACUAUGUAAUUUUUAACAAAGUUUUGUGCUGAUGUUUUUGUUGUUCUAAAUUUUGACACCUUGAUUUCAGCAAAUCUAUAUUUGUAGUAAAUAAACGCUGGUCUCUUUGAUUACUA